rnacentral:rRNA from 1 species
UACGGAGGGGACUAGCGUUGUUCGGAAUUACUGGGCGUAAAGGGCGCGUAGGCGGGCAGGCAAGUCAGGGGUGAAAGCCCACGGCUCAACCGUGGAAGUGCCUUUGAUACUGCCUUUCUCGAGGGAGGUAGGGGCGUGCGGAACUUCCGGUGGAGCGGUGAAAUGCGUAGAUAUACGGAAGGAACACCGGUGGCGAAAGCGGCGCGCUGGACCUCUUCUGACGCUGAGGCGCGAAAGCCAGGGGGAGCAAACGGG